rnacentral:rRNA from 1 species
CAGGUCUUGACAUCCCGGUGACAGGUGAGUAAAGUCACCCUCUCUUCGGAGCAUCGGAGACAGGUGGUGCAUGGUUGUCGUCAGCUCGUGUCGUGAGAUGUUGGGUUAAGUCCCGCAACGAGCGCAACCCUUAUCCUUAGUAGCCAGCAGGUGAAGCUGGGAACUCUAGGGAGACUGCCGGGGACAACCCGGAGGAAGGUGGGGAUGACGUCAAAUCAUCAUGCCCCUUAUGACCUGGGCUACACACGUGCUACAACGGCGUAAACAAAGGGAAGCGAACCGGUGACGGUAAGCAAAUCCCAGAAAUAACGUCCCAGUUCGGAUUGUAGUCUGCAACCCGACUACAUGAAGCUGGAAUCGCUAGUAAUCGCGGAUCAGAAUGCCGCGGUGAAUACGUUCCC